rnacentral:rRNA from 1 species
UAGGGAAUUUUCGUCAAUGGGGGGAACCCUGAACGAGCAAUGCCGCGUGAGUGAAGACGGUCUUCGGAUUGUAAAGCUCUGUUGCGAGAGAAAAAGGACAGGAAGAGGGAAUGCUUCCAGUUUGAUGGUAUCUCGCCAGAAAGUCACGGCUAACUACGUGCCAGCAGCCGCGGUAAUACGUAGGUGGCGAGCGUUAUCCGGAAUGAUUGGGCGUAAAGGGUACGUAGGCGGCCAGAUAAGUCUGGUGUGAAAGGCUGCAGCUCAACUGCAGCACUGCACUGGAAACUGUCCGGCUGGAGUGCAGAAGAGGGCGAUGGAACUCCAUGUGUAGCGGUAAAAUGCGUAGAUAUAUGGAAGAACACCGGUGGCGAAGGCGGUCGCCUGGUCUGCAACUGACGCUGAAGUACGAAAGCGUGGGGAGCAAAUAGG